rnacentral:rRNA from 1 species
GGGGGAAUAUUGGGGCAAAUGGGGCGCAAGCCUGACCCAGCAACGCCGCGUGAAGGAAGAAGGCUCUCGGGUUGUAAACUUCUUUUGUCAGGGACGAAACAAAUGACGGUACCUGACGAAUAAGCCACGGCUAACUACGUGCCAGCAGCCGCGGUAAUACGUAGGUGGCAAGCGUUAUCCGGAUUUACUGGGUGUAAAGGGCGUGUAGGCGGGAAGGCAAGUCAGACGUGAAAACCACGGGCUCAACCUGUGGCCUGCGUUUGAAACUGUUUUUCUUGAGUGAUGGAGAGGCAGGCGGAAUUCCGUGUGUAGCGGUGAAAUGCGUAGAUAUACGGAGGAACACCAGUGGCGAAGGCGGCCUGCUGGACAUUAACUGACGCUGAGGCGCGAAAGCGUG